UCACAGGAAAAGAUGAUCUGCAGGAUCCUGCUGCUCAUCAUCCUCACCUCAUGUGUCUCUGGAUCAUUUGUAGUCAAUGUGACACAGACCUGCUAUCAGGCAGAGGAGAACCACAACAAAAGGAAGAAUAUUAAUGUAUUUCUUUAUAAAUCACCAUAUUCUUUUGAUGUUGCAUUUUGAAAUUAUAUAUUAAAUACUUAUAAUAAAUGGCACAGUUGGCCAAACGGUGCCAAGUGUAAAAUGGAUUUAAAGAAUUUCUUGAAUGCGAAUCAGUUUGUAAUGUCUGACAAGGAAAACACAUAUCAUGUCUGUCAGCGAGGGCAGCAGUCUAAACACAGAUACCCAGAGAUAAUGUUUUUCUCUACAUGAUACCAUAUAAAAUAUAAAAUUAAAAAUAUCUGAUCAAAUCAUUUCAUGCAGGAAUCUUACAAAAUGCAACAACAACCUCUCACCAGAUUGGAAGAUGGAAGAAAUUACAUUGAAGGUAAAAAGAAACAGUUCUGUUGUCUCCUUCCUGGUGGUUUGGGAGUUGUUUUUGUCACGGACCCGGUUCCAGGGACUCAGGGUUAUUAUUAUUAUUAUUAUUGUUAUGGUUGUUGUUUGAGGGUUGUGUCUUCUGCACUGCUGCUGUCCUGUGUUUGUGUACUGUCAGGUGUGUAUGGGUGUGUGCAUGUGUGUGAGGGUGUGGUAGUGGCAGGCACCUUCAGGCCUGGUGGGUGUGGCCCUGCCAGCUGACCGGUCACACCCAGGAAUCUCCACACACACCUGGUGCCGAUGAAGCCUCGUCAGAGGAGCUUCAAAACAGUGUGGACGCUGGAUCGUUGAGUGACUUCCCGAGGAAUUGUGGCGACCAGGAGGCAGCACACGGACAGUACACAGGGAACGGAGACAGAGCAUAGAGCACGGGAUAAGGGAGAAGACACGGAACGGGAGUUGGGAUCGCACUGGGGAUUUAUUGUUGUUUGGAUUUACACCACUGUAAAUAAACGCACUGCCUUCGUCAUCAA